rnacentral:rRNA from 1 species
GGAGGUAGUGACAAUAAAUCACAAUGCGGGACUAUUAGUCUUGCAAUUGGAUUGAGAACAACGUACAACUCUUAUCGAUAAGCCAUUGGAGGGCAAGUCUGGUGCCAGCAGCCGCGGUAAUUCCAGCUCCAAUAGCGUAUAUUAACGUUGUUGCAGUUAAAAAGCUCGUAGUUGAAGUGAGGGAGUGUGUGUUCAUGAGAGCUAGUCUCGAGUGUUCACAACCUCCCCCCUCCAAUCGGUGUAGUGGGGUAUUCAGUUAUUUCACUACUCCUUUGGUCGUUUACUGUGAGAAAAUUAGAGUGUUCAAAGCGGGCGUUUGUUUGAAUAGAUUAGCAUGGAAUAAUGAUUGAAGGCUUUCGUGUUCGAUUUGAUUGGUUUGUUCAUGGAAGCAAGGUUAAAAGGAACAGUUGGGGGUAUUCAUAUUCACUAGUUAGAGGUGAAAUUCUCGGAUUUAUGGAAGAUGAACAAGUGCGAAAGCA